rnacentral:rRNA from 1 species
CCUGGUAGUCCACGCCGUAAACGAUGUCUACUUGGAGGUUGUGCCCUUGAGGCGUGGCUUCCGGAGCUAACGCGUUAAGUAGACCGCCUGGGGAGUACGGCCGCAAGGUUAAAACUCAAAUGAAUUGACGGGGGCCCGCACAAGCGGUGGAGCAUGUGGUUUAAUUCGAUGCAACGCGAAGAACCUUACCUGGUCUUGACAUCCACAGAACUUUCCAGAGAUGGACUGGUGCCUUCGGGAACUGUGAGACAGGUGCUGCAUGGCUGUCGUCAGCUCGUGUUGUGAAAUGUUGGGUUAAGUCCCGCAACGAGCGCAACCCUUAUCCUUUGUUGCCAGCGAUUAGGUCGGGAACUCAAAGGAGACUGCCAGUGAUAAACUGGAGGAAGGUGGGGAUGACGUCAAGUCAUCAUGGCCCUUACGACCAGGGCUACACACGUGCUACAAUGGCGCAUACAAAGAGAAGCGACCUCGCGAGAGCAAGCGGACCUCAUAAAGUGCGUCGUAGUCCGGAUUGGAGUCUGCAACUCGACUCCAUGAAGUCGGAAUCGCUAGUAAUCGUGGAUCAGAAUGCCACGGUGAAUACGUUCCCGGGCCUUGUACACACCGCCCGUCACACCAUGGGAGUGGGUUGCAAAAGAAGUAGGUAGCUUAACCUUCGGGAGGGCGCUUACCACUUUGUGAUUCAUGACUGGGGUGAAGUCGUAACAAGGUAACCGUAGGGGAACCUGCGGUUGGAUCACCUCCUUACCUUAAAGAAGC